GGCUUGUUUUAAACUAAACGGGUUCAGGAUUCCUCAGGGGGCUUACAACAUGUAUCCAUAUUCAUAUUUACUCAAAAAUAUACCCUCAAUACUUUCUCUUCGUUUUAAUUGUGCAAAAGAUUGUAUAGGCCAGGCCCAACAUCCUUACCAACUGCAAUCCCCAUUUAUUUUCAUCUACUUAUUAUCAAGUUAGCAGGUUUAACAUUACUAAUAAUAAUAUAAAUAAGAUUUGUCUUAGUAACCUUGAGGAAGGUGAGGAACUUCUACCUUGGUCCAUAUAUCAAACAGACAAUGUACUGGGAAUCUCACAUCAGAACAACAUAUAUUAUGUGUGGCCAAGACCCAAAAUUAACAUAUACAACAGCUCUGUAUUUAAGCAAAACAAUACAAUUGAAAACCACGUAUGUGGGGCUGAUUGGGGUAAAUUGUAGGGAUGAUAAGGAAACAUUAUGCAUAUAUUCAGUUUUAUUAUAUUUAUUUACUGUAUUCUUAUAAGUGUCUUAUUUUAACUUACUACAUAGAGUGUAAUCAAGUCCUAUCAAGCCUUGUUGUUUGGUUUGGUAUUGUGAUAUGGCCUAAGGGCUAAUCAAUAAAAAUAUUAUUCUAUAAUUAUCCAAGAAUUUGAUAGAAAAAACUCACAUUUUCAAGGAUUCCCCCCUUAUUCUCUACAUCAAAAUCCAAUAUUUGUUGCUUUUUGUAGGAGGAAAGACAAAAUGGAGGUGGGUCUGGUAAAAUGUCAUCCCAUACAGCAGGCAUUGUUCUCCUAUAGUAUAUUACACAAUACAGAACUGGAGUUAGUAUUAAGUAGUCCUGUUUGCCCAGUCGCUUUCCACUUUCUAUCCUUUAGAAAAACAUACCAUGUUGUCCAAAUAUUUUAUUUAUAGAGCAGGCAAUAACAACAAUGCCUGAGCCGAGGCUGCUGCAAAAAGGUGCCUUCCUCCCAAUAACCACUAGAGGGCGCCGCUCGCCUCUCCUCUCGGCGGUAAAUUGAUCAAGGCAGAAGCCCAAGAUAAUUAGUUUUAUGUAUAUAAUAUUCGAUCAUGAAAAUAUUCUUUGCCUUAUCCUUGGAUGGGGAGCCUGUAAUAUAUGUUAAAACGGUUAAUUUUUUUAUUAUCUCUCCGAAUUGUUUUAUACCAGCCCUGGCCCCCCAAAUUAUUGUAGCAUCCACUGGAAAUGCAGGCAAUGUAAGCAACGUUAAAUCUAAUUUUUUCCUGUGCAAAACCUAAUUAGCCGGUUUAAAAAAAAGAGAGAGAGAGAGAGGAAAGAAAGAAAGAGGUUAACGCCAGCGCCUGAGACGGUUUUUGUUUAAUAAUCCUAUUACUGACGGCUCAUCAUGUAUAAAAUGGUGCUGUAGGAUGCAAAAUGUUCCACUUGUUUGUUGGAGAAAUGUAUACACGCAGGAGAGGUAGGGGAGAGCGGGAUGUGGAAGGCACACAACUAAACACCUCAAAUGAACAAUGCCAACAUUGAAGCCCUCGGUUGGAGACUGCACAGUUGGAGAUCUUUGGUGCCAUUUUAGACAUCUUUGGAUUUCAUCAAUCAAACUGACUGCAAUUUUCCAUAAAAACCCCUGAAUUUGGGUCAGAAAGUGGGCAAAGCAGAUAAUGAUCAUUGGAGCUGUCUUAUGAGAUGAUAAAUAGAUAGCCUUUCAGAGCAACAAUGCAACAAAGUGCAUUCUCUUUCCCCACUCUUCGGUAGUUCAGCCCAAAGAGGUUUGAAUGCAAAGUCUCUAAACAUUUUCUCCAUGUUUUCCCAUGGUUUAGAAGAUGUCUUCACAGACUUGUCAAUAGUAACUUGACCCUUCCUCCCCUAGAGUUUUUUUUCCAGAAAAGUCUGCCUCUACUCCCCCAGAGAACUAAAACAAGUAACAGAAUAUCUUUUCUUAUCCCAAGAAUAAAGAAACUGUAGGUAGUUCAUAUAUAACAAAUACAUUCUUAUUCCAGAUCCCAAUGAUUCUUUACUGCUUUAGCUUGAUUUGAUGCUGGUUGUAUUUUACAAUGAAAACGAACAGCUGGACUUGCUCUUGAACUUGAGGGGUUCCUCUUAUAAAUAAGGGGAACCUAAAAAGUAGGCCUCAGCUAUAUGUAUAUCCAUUCUGUUGGAUGCAUUUUACAAAGGACAACAUUCCAAAAUGCUACAAACUAGACUGAUGUUCACUAGGAUAUUCACACACAGGAUUGGAACAGCUCAUUUAUACCACCUGAAUGAAAAUUGGUGUUCCUCCAUCAGCCAAUCAAGAGAAGAAACCAUAAUAGCACAGAAUUUGUUGAUCCACAGUUGCCAACUUUUGAAUUGGGUCCAGAUUCUGACCAGUAUCAAGUGAUAUCAUUUUACAUUGACACACCUGGUUGCAAAUCAUGGGCAAAAGAAAGUGAAACCCUUUUCUAGUUGUACCACAAAUUGCACAAGCAACAGGAUGCCUGGGGAAAAGAACAAGUGUAUUACUAUUUUGAAACUGAAAAACUAACAAAACCCCAUUAGAACAUAUUUUCUUUGUUUUUUAAAAACUAACUUUACAUUGGAUUUAGGUCUCUGUCUUUUAUAUAGCUUUAGCUUUCUGUGCAGGAAUGAGCAAGUAAUUAUGUUUAUCCUUAUGUUAUGAUAAACCUCUCCAGCUAGAAUGUUUGCAAAUAAAAAUGGUAUUAAAGAUACAA